GAUGAACGCUGGCGGCGUGCCUAAUACAUGCAAGUCGAGCGAACGGACGAGAAUCUUGCUUCUCUGAUGUUAGCGGCGGACGGGUGAGUAACACGUGGAUAACCUACCUAUAAGACUGGGAUAACUUCGGGAAACCGGAGCUAAUACCGGAUAAUAUUUUGAACCGCAUGGUUCAAAAGUGAAAGACGGUCUUGCUGUCACUUAUAGAUGGAUCCGCGCUGCAUUAGCUAGUUGGUAAGGUAACGGCUUACCAAGGCAACGAUGCAUAGCCGACCUGAGAGGCUGAUCGGCCACCCUGGAACUGAGCCACGGUCCAGACUACUACGGGAGGCAGCAGUAGGGAACCUUCCGCAAUGGGCGAAAGCCUGACGGAGCAACGCCGCGUGAGUGAUGAAGGUCUUCGGAUCGUAAAACUCUGUUAUUAGGGAAGAACAUAUGUGUAAGUAACUGUGCACAUAUUGACGGUACCUACUCAGAAAGCCACGGCUAACUACGUG
rnacentral:rRNA from 1 species